CAAAGGGAUUACCGGUGGCGGAUGGGCAUGCGGCGCAUUAGCUAGUCGGCGGGGUAACGGCCCACCGAGGCGACGAUGCGUAGGGGUUCUGAGAGGAAGGUCCCCCACACUGGUACUGAGACACGGACCAGACUCCUACGGGAGGCAGCAGUGAGGAAUAUUGGUCAAUGGGCGCGAGCCUGAACCAGCCAAGUCGCGUGAGGGAUGACGGUCCUACGGAUUGUAAACCUCUUUUGCCGGGGAGCAAGCGUGCGUUCGUGAACGCGCGUCGAGAGUACCCGGAGAAAAAGCAUCGGCUAACUCCGUGCCAGCAGCCGCGGUAAUACGGAGGAUGCGAGCGUUAUCCGGAUUUAUUGGGUUUAAAGGGUGCGUAGGCGGGAUGCCAAGUCAGCGGUAAAAAUGCGGUGCUCAACGCCGUCGAGCCGUUGAAACUGGCGUUCUUGAGUGGGCGAGAAGUAUGCGGAAUGCGUGGUGUAGCGGUGAAAUGCAUAGAUAUCACGCAGAACUCCGAUUGCGAAGGCAGCAUACCGGCGCCCUACUGACGCUGAGGCACGAAAGCGUGGGUAUCGAACAGGAUUAGAUACCCUGGUAGUCCACGCAGUA
rnacentral:rRNA from 1 species